GUAACAAGGUUUCCGUAGGUGAACCUGCGGAAGGAUCAUUACCUAGAGUUUGUGGACUUCGGUCUGCUACCUCUUACCCAUGUCUUUUGAGUACCUUCGUUUCCUCGGCGGGUCCGCCCGCCGGUUGGACAACAUUCAAACCCUUUGCAGUUGCAAUCAGCGUCUGAAAAAACUUAAUAGUUACAACUUUCAACAACGGAUCUCUUGGUUCUGGCAUCGAUGAAGAACGCAGCGAAAUGCGAUAAGUAGUGUGAAUUGCAGAAUUCAGUGAAUCAUCGAAUCUUUGAACGCACAUUGCGCCCCUUGGUAUUCCAUGGGGCAUGCCUGUUCGAGCGUCAUUUGUACCUUCAAGCUCUGCUUGGUGUUGGGUGUUUUGUCUCGCCUCCGCGCGCAGACUCGCCUUAAAACAAUUGGCAGCCGGCGUAUUGAUUUCGGAGCGCAGUACAUCUCGCGCUUUGCACUCAUAACGACGACGUCCAAAAGUACAUUUUUACACUCUUGACCUCGGAUCAGGUAGGGAUACCCGCUGAACUUAAGCAUAUC
rnacentral:misc_RNA from 1 species